ensembl:lncRNA
AUUUUUCUGAAUGGUUAAACUGAAGGAAGAGUUCAGAACUUGACACAGAAGAGAAAAUAGCUUUUAGGCAGUCUGGUUAAAUUUUAAGGGCUCCAGCAUCCUGUAGCCGUGGGUAUUUACCUGAACUCCUUAAUAUUUAAGUUCAUCACUUUCAACAGAGUAGAGAUGUGAACAAAACUAGCAAAAUAGUUUUGUGGAAGGCAGAGUUUUUGAGUAUGUAUAUUGCCUUCUGGAAUUAAUUUUCAGACUGUUGCCCCCAAAAGACAUUUCUCUCCUGUAAUGCAAUGGAAAGCACAGCAAUGAUAGCAGGGCAGCAAGGCCCGAGGCUGCAGCAAGCAAGCUUUUCUCAAACACAACAGCCAUAAACACAAAAAUAAAGGAAAGAAGCUACUUAUCUUCAGAAUACCUCAGUUAUGGAAGGACUUCCAGCAAGAUACCCUUUCCUCCACUGCCAACACCUAAAUGAGGUCUGGGAAGGGGUGGAUCCUAGCUCCACCUCUUCCAGUCACUCGGGGGUACUACAAGCACAUGAGCUCCCCUGGGUUGGACCUGCCUUCCCACCAGGUGCUCAAUCACUGGUUCAAGCCAUGACUUUGCAUUUCUGCUACAGUAACACACUGAAGACAAGGAAGAUCCCUGUUCACUUACCUUCAGCCAUGAAAAGGUCUUAAUCUCCAAGUCAAUUUCUGUUUCUUCUUAUUCUCUGCAUUGUGCCUAGUUUGUGCAUUUCACAUGGACUCAGACCUGUAACAGAAGGGAAUACAAGCAGCUUGCUGCAGCUUGAGAAUUUAGCCUCACACCUGGAAGCCCAAGUGCAAGACAAUUUCUUCUUGAUGAAGAUUGAAGUUACAACCAAAGUUUCCCAUUGUGCUGAUUAGAGUUUCUUCUCACAUACCUCGAGACCAGACUGGAGAGAGAGGAGAGCAUUGCCGUUUCCUCCACUCCUGAACAGUCUUGGACAAACUGGACAGAAUACUUUGACACAUGACAUGAAGGACCAGAGGGGCAUUUCAAACACAGAUAACCCAAACACAGAAAACUCAACUGAAGUGAAAUAUUUGAAUUCUUGCCAUUCAGUUACACAGUUUUUUAUAGGUAAUAUAUUUUAAAAUAUGAGCUAAGUAGCUUGGCUGGGAUACUGGCCAAGCAGAGGGGCAGCAGGAUGGAAGCUGACAGCCAGAAUCUAGGUACCAUGGCCCUAGGAAAAUCCAGCCCCCACAGCACUCUGACAUUCAAACUUCCUACUGAUCAUCUUCCCCUUUCCUGUGAUAAAAAGUCCUUACGGCCACACAGUUUCAUUACAAAGAAAAUGAACUGUAAAUAAUACGUUACUUAGGUUUAAGCUGCUAUUACAAUUGUAUGUAGCAAUUGGCUCAAGUAUUAUAAUAAUGGUUGCCACACUACUUCAGCCAUAGAUAACACAAAUUUACCACCCAGUAUGCAACAUCAACUUUCAUUUCCCUUGUCCUCACAUUGAUUGAUGAAAUAGCUUUGAAACAAUCAAGUGUUCCCACUAAAAGAAAGGACAGUGGCAGAGUCUUAACAGAAAAAUAAUGGUUUUAUCUAUCACACUUGAAAUAAUUCCCAACAUACUAAUUAAGCUGGGCAAAAUUUCAAGGAAGAUUUGCAUCAGAAAUUUACAAAUUGAUUGUUUUAUUCAGUGCUCCCUGUGGGACAGAGAUGUGAUUUAAAACACAAAAUCAAUUAUGAAUGAGUGAAGACAAAGAGAGCAAAAUAGACCGGAGUAUUUGAAGAACAGAAAGUGAGAAAGAUUCUUAAGAAAAGAAACUGAGAUCACAAAGAUUCAGUGGGUGAAGGCACAAAACAGAAUUAAUUCUAGAAGUAAUUUGCUUUGUGUGACCUAGUUUAGGAUCAAUAUCAUAAGUUGUAGAACCAAAUGAUUUUGAGACAACUGCCAAACCCAGUAGGUCUUUUAUAGAUAUUUAGACAGGUAAUCAAAUCAUUUGAAUGUUUAUUUUUCUUUCAGUUGCAGAAGUGGAUCAAUUCUGCUUUUAGCAUGACGGGAUGGUUUUGUUUCUCAAUCCAUGCUGUGGGAUUCAUUUUCUACAUUUAAACAAGCUCAGCUUGUUCCUGGCUUUCUACCAGAGGCUGUCAAUGUCCUAUUAGCACGUGCAUGCUUGUUCCUUGGAAAUAUCCUCCAGCAGGGCAUGUCAGCCAGGUGACAGCAGUCUUCCUCCAGAG